UACGGGGGGAGCAAGCGUUGUUCGGAUUUACUGGGCGUAAAGGGCGCGUAGGCGGUCAGCACAAGUCAGUUGUGAAAUCUCCGAGCUUAACUCGGAACGGUCAACUGAUACUGUGCGACUAGAGUGCGGAAGGGGCAACUGGAAUUCUUGGUGUAGCGGUGAAAUGCGUAGAUAUCAGGAGGAACACCAAUGGCGAAGGCAGCUCGCUGGGACGGUACUGACGCUGAGGCGCGAAAGCGUGGGGAGCAAACAGG
rnacentral:rRNA from 1 species